AUUGAACGCUGGCGGAAUGCUUUACACAUGCAAGUCGAACGGCAGCACGGACUUCGGUCUGGUGGCGAGUGGCGAACGGGUGAGUAAUACAUCGGAACGUGCCCAGUCGUGGGGGAUAACGUAGCGAAAGCUACGCUAAUACCGCAUACGAUCUAAGGAUGAAAGCGGGGGAUCGCAAGACCUCGCGCGCUUGGAGCGGCCGAUGGCAGAUUAGGUAGUUGGGGGGGUAAAGGCUCACCAGGCCGACGAUCUGUAGCUGGUCUGAGAGGACGACCAGCCACACUGGGACUGAGACACGGCCCAGACUCCUACGGGAGGCAGCAGUGGGGAAUUUUGGACAAUGGGCGCAAGCCUGAUCCAGCCAUUCCGCGUGCAGGAUGAAGGCCCUCGGGUUGUAAACUGCUUUUGUACGGAACGAAAAGGCUCUGGUUAAUACCUGGGGCUCAUGACGGUACCGUAAGAAUAAGCACCGGCUAACUACGUGCCAGCAGCCGCGGUAA
rnacentral:rRNA from 1 species